CAAGUCACUUUUAACCAACGAUUUAUGAUGAUGAAUAAAAUUACGCCAUUAUAAAACGCCUAAAUUUCGACAUUUAUUAAUUCAAAAAUCAUGUGGAAUAAAACCAUGGAAUUUAUCUUUAUCAAAAAAAACAAAUUAUAAAAAUCCAAAUUUUCUUA